UCCCUGGUGGCUCAGCUGGUAAAGAAUCUGCCUGCAAUGCAGGAGACCCAGGUUCAAUCCCUGGAUUGGGAA
rnacentral:tRNA from 1 species